GACGAACGCUGGCGGCGUGCUUAACACAUGCAAGUCGAACGGAAAGGCCCUGCUUUUGUGGGGUGCUCGAGUGGCGAACGGGUGAGUAACACGUGAGUAACCUGCCCUUGACUUUGGGAUAACUUCAGGAAACUGGGGCUAAUACCGGGUAGGAGCUCCUGCUGCAUGGUGGGGGUUGGAAAGUUUCGGCGGUUGGGGAUGGACUCGCGGCUUAUCAGCUUGUUGGUGGGGUAGUGGCUUACCAAGGCUUUGACGGGUAGCCGGCCUUAGAGGGUGACCGGGCUCCAUGGGCCUGCGGUACGGCCCAGUCGGCAACCGGCGGCAAGAGGCGGGAAUAUUACGCAACGGGCCGACGCCUGAUGCAGCAACGCCGCGUGCGUGAUGACGGCCUUCGGGUUGUAAACCGCUUUCGCCGGUGACGAAGCGUGAGUGACGGUAAUGGGUAAAGAAGCACCGGCUAACUACGUG
rnacentral:rRNA from 1 species